AACCUGGUUGAUCUUGCCAGUAGUCAUAUGCUUGUCUCAAAGAUUAAGCCAUGCAAGUGAAAGUAUAUGCAUAUUUUAUAUGUAGAAACUGCGAACGGCUCAUUAAAACAGUUAUAGUCUACUUGACAUUUUUUUUAUAAGGAUAACUACGGAAAAGCUGUAGCUAAUACUUGCUUUAAUACUCUUAAUUCUUUAUGUUUUUUGAGUAUGUAUUUGUUAAGCCUUAUAAGAGAAAAGUAUAUUAACUUAAGGAAUAUAACAAAGAAGUAACACAUAAUAAAUUUCGAUUUAUUUAGUGUGUAUCAAUCGAGUUUCUGACCUAUCAGCUUUUGAUGUUAGGGUAUUGGCCUAACAUGGCUAUGACGGGUAACGGGGAAUUAGAGUUCGAUUCCGGAGAGGGAGCCUGAGAAAUAGCUACCACAUCUAAGGAAGGCAGCAGGCGCGUAAAUUACCCAAUUCUAAAGAAGAGAGGUAGUGACAAGAAAUAACAAUGCAAGGCCAAAUUUUGGUUUUGCAAUUGGAAUGAUGGGAAUUUAAAACCUUCCCAGAAGGCAAUUGGAGGGCAAGUCUGGUGCCAGCAGCCGCGGUAAUUCCAGCUCCAAUAGCGUAUAUUAAAAUUGUUGCAGUUAAAACGCUCGUAGUUGAAUUUCAAGGAAUCAAUAUUUUAAGUAAUGCUUUGUAUAUUUAUAACAAAGUUGUACAUUAAGAAUAAACGCCAAGCGUUAUAUUUUUUCUGUUACAUUUUGUUUUAUUAAUAUAUAUAUGCGUUCUUAUUAUAAAAAUGAUUCUUUUUAAAAUUCUUUUGUAUAAUUUUUUAUGCAUGGGAAUUUUGUUACUUUGAGUAAAUUAGAGUGUUCAAAGCAAACAGUUAAAACAGUUUCUGUGUUUGAAUACUACAGCAUGGAAUAACAAAAUUGAACAAGUCAGAAUUUUGUUCUUUUUUCUUAUUUUGGCUUAGUUACGAUUAAUAGGAGUAGCUUGGGGGCAUUUGUAUUCAGAUGUCAGAGGUGAAAUUCUUAGAUUUUCUGGAGACAAGCAACUGCGAAAGCAUUUGCCUAAAAUACUUCCAUUAAUCAAGAACGAAAGUUAAGGGAGUGAAGACGAUCAGAUACCGUCGUAAUCUUAACCAUAAACUAUGCCGACUAGGUGUUGGAUGAUAGAGUAAAAAAUAAAAGAGACAUUCAUAUGAGUGUUUCUUUUAGAUAGCUUCCUUCAGUACCUUAUGAGAAAUCAAAGUCUUUGGGUUCUGGGGCGAGUAUUCGCGCAAGCGAGAAAGUUAAAAGAAUUGACGGAAGGGCACCACCAGGCGUGGAGCUUGCGGCUUAAUUUGACUCAACACGGGGAAACUCACUAGUUUAAGACAAGAGUAGGAUUGACAGAUUAAUAGCUCUUUCUUGAUUUCUUGGAUGGUGAUGCAUGGCCGUUUUUAGUUCGUGAAUAUGAUUUGUCUGGUUAAUUCCGAUAACGAACGAGAUCUUAACCUGCUAAUUAGCGGUAAAUACACUAUAUUCUUAAGUGAAAUUAGAAUAUAGAUAAAUUGUGCUAAUUUUGAUUAAAAUAUUAGAAUGUUUUUUUUAAUAAAAACGUUCUUUUCCCUUUUUUUCUUAAUUAUGCAUAUUUAUUCUUUUUCUUUUUUCGCAUAAGAAUGUAUUUGCUUAAUUGUAAAGCUUCUUAGAGGAACGAUGUGUGUCUAACACAAGGAAGUUUAAGGCAACAACAGGUCUGUGAUGUCCUUAGAUGAACUAGGCUGCACGCGUGCUACACUGAUAUGUAUAACGAGUAUUUAAAAAUAUAUAUCUUGUUAUGUUAUAUGUAUUUCUAUAUGUAUGCAUGCAAAGAAUAUAUAGUUUUCCUCCACUGAAAAGUGUAGGUAAUCUUUUUCAAUACAUAUCGUGAUGGGGAUAGAUUAUUGCAAUUAUUAAUCUUGAACGAGGAAUGCCUAGUAAGCAUGAUUCAUCAGAUUGUGCUGACUACGUCCCUGCCCUUUGUACACACCGCCCGUCGCUCCUACCGAUUGAAAGAUAUGAUGAAUUGUUUGGACAAGGAAAAAGGGUUUUUUUCUUUUUUCUGGAAAAAUCGUAAAUCCUAUCUUUUAAAGGAAGGAGAAAGUCGUAACAAGGUUUCCGUCGGUGAACCUGCGGAAGGAUCAUUA
rnacentral:rRNA from 1 species